AGUGAACGCUGGCGGUAGGCCUAACACAUGCAAGUCGAACGGCAGCACAGUAAGAGCUUGCUCUUACGGGUGGCGAGUGGCGGACGGGUGAGGAAUACAUCGGAAUCUACUUUUUCGUGGGGGAUAACGUAGGGAAACUUACGCUAAUACCGCAUCCGACCUACGGGUGAAAGCAGGGGAUCUUCGGACCUUGCGCGAUUGAAUGAGCCGAUGUCGGAUUAGCUAGUUGGCGGGGUAAAGGCCCACCCAGGCGCCGAUCCGUAGCGGGUCUGAGAGGAUGAUCAGCCACACUGGAGCUGAGACACGGUCCAGACUCCUACGGGAGGCAGCAGUGGGGAAUAUUGGACAAUGGGCGCAAGCCUGAUCCAGCCAUAGCGCGUGGGUGAAGAAGGCCUUCGGGUUGUAAAGCCCUUUUGUUGGGAAAGAAAAGCAGCAGGUUAAUACCCCGCUGUUCUGACGGUACCCAAAGAAUAAGCACCGGCUAACUUCGU
rnacentral:rRNA from 1 species